UUGAUUCUUGACCUUGAACGCAGAGCAACUUUCUUUCUAUCCCUGGGCCAAGCUGAAUUUCAAAUUAACCCGUUCCUUUCCUCAGUAGACAAAUUUGCUCACGCUGUGUCAGGGCUUUUUGGUGAUUAAACGCUCCUCUUAUCUAGAUUGAAGAUCAUACAUCAAAAUUGAAGUA